rnacentral:rRNA from 1 species
CAGCCGCCGCGGUAAUACGUAGGUGGCAAGCGUUGUCCGGAAUUACUGGGCGUAAAGCGUGCGCAGGCGGUUGUGUAAGACAGGUGUGAAAUCCCCGGGCUUAACCUGGGAACUGCGCUUGUGACUGCACAGCUAGAGUAUGGCAGAGGGGGGUGGAAUUCCACGUGUAGCAGUGAAAUGCGUAGAGAUGUGGAGGAACGCCGAUGGCGAAGGCAGCCCCCUGGGCCAAUACUGACGCUCAUGCACGAAAGCGUGGGGAGCAAACAGGAUUAGAUACCCCUGUAGUCCCUGUCUCUUAUAC